rnacentral:piRNA from 1 species
AUCUUGUGGUCAUAUUGUAGGACUGCA